AUUGAACGCUGGCGGCAGGCCUAACACAUGCAAGUCGAACGGUAACAGGAAGAAGCUUGCUUCUUUGCUGACGAGUGGCGGACGGGUGAGUAAUGUCUGGGAAACUGCCUGAUGGAGGGGGAUAACUACUGGAAACGGUAGCUAAUACCGCAUAACGUCGCAAGACCAAAGAGGGGGACCUUCGGGCCUCUUGCCAUCGGAUGUGCCCAGAUGGGAUUAGCUAGUAGGUGGGGUAACGGCUCACCUAGGCGACGAUCCCUAGCUGGUCUGAGAGGAUGACCAGCCACACUGGAACUGAGCCACGGUCCAGGCUCCUACGGGAGGCAGCAGUGGGGAAUAUUGCACAAUGGGCGCAAGCCUGAUGCAGCCAUGCCGCGUGUAUGAAGAAGGCCUUCGGGUUGUAAAGUACUUUCAGCGGGGAGGAAGGGAGUAAAGUUAAUACCUUUACUCAUUGACGUUACCCGCAGAAGAAGCACCGGCUAACUCCGUG
rnacentral:rRNA from 1 species